AGAAAGAUUCCUAUGAAAAGACAAUGUAAUCCCCAGAAGUCCUGUCACCCCAUAGAGUCCCACAGCAAGCCAAAAAGCGGGCCAAUUGAAAUGAAAAGGUGCAAAAAGGCUGAGCAAAUGCAUGCCUACAACAACACCAGCAGUGGCCAUAUCCAAAGUGUUCCAUUUUCUUCCCCAAAACACUUCCUUCUUCCUUUGCACCACCACAUUAGAUAACAAAAUUCUACCCGAGGUUUUCCCUUCUGGGUCGGGCUCGUUUGCUCCAACUGACACCCCAUUAGCCAAUGCCAACACUUUCCUAUUGCUGUAACUCCUAUUCAAACGAGUGAUAAAACUCGCCUGCAGAGGACUCUGCUCUCCGUUUAUUUGAUUGAAUUUUGGGUUUUGAUGGCCAAAGUUUAAGACUUUGCAAGAGCAAGAUCUGGUUUUUAUUGUUGUCGCUCUUUGAGGAGGUGAUACAGCUAAGGAUUUUGGCUUUGACAAUAACGAUGUGAUUAAAGCCAUUGGGUCUCAAUUGGUGGGGUUCUCAAGAAAAAAUUGGGUUUUUGUUGGGUUUUAUAAAAGUUGUGGUUGGUUUGUCCUUUUCUUUUUGAAAGAUGGUUUAUUUAUUGAACCGAUUACUUAGAAUGCCGUAACAACUCUUGAACCAGAGUGGUAGAAGACCUCUAUUAACGUAAGAAGACUAGAUUUGGUGAGAAGGUUGGUUUGUACUUAAAACGAUAAAAUUUGAAGAUUUUGAGUUAUUGUCAAAGCACGAAGUAUAUAAAGCGGGAAAAAGCGUGGAUUAUGGAAAGAGAAAGUGAGCUAACGAAAAGGACAAAGGAGAUAAAAGCUGAUAAGGUGAUCUUGUUUAGAUGGGAAGAUGUGAGGUGAAAUGAGACUCAGAUAUUCUUUUGCUAGGAUUUUGUUUUAGCCCAUUAAUUUUCUAAAUUAUCUACUUGGAUGGAUAGAUAUUUUCUUUUCUCUUUCCUUUUUAUAGGAGUUCUUUCUCUAGUGCCCUUUUGUCUGAUUCUAUCCUUUCUUGCCUGGUUGACAGAUAAGGCUACUCUCUCGCUAGGAAGUUAAAGCAGCAGAAAAACCGGUGAGAGAAAUGGCAGCAACCGCGUCAAUCUUUACGUCUCCGACUCAACCCUUUUCGGCCACGCGGUCGGUGAGAGGUACAAGUGCCAAGCCAUCUAUUUCAAAGCCGAGUAGGGAGUCUCUUUAGACCUGCUUUUUUAACACCCAGUUAGGGAUCUUUGAUUGCUUACAUCGUUUUUCACGUUUUUGGUUGGGGAUUUGAGUUCAGCUCCCUUGAGCUGAAAUUGGGUACAAAUCUUAAUCACCAAUGGUGUGUUCGGCUUAGGUACUCUUGCUUAACUGGAAGCAACUGUACCCUUAGUAAGCAGUCAAGAGGAUCUUUCUUUAAAUGUUAUUAAAUUACAAAUCAUGGUAACUAGAUUAUCUUGCGAGAUAUAUUGAAAACAAUGGAAUUAUCCAAUCAUUUUGCCUUCAAGUUAAGAGUUAUUUCAUGCUUGUCUGUGUCAUGAUUCAUGCUCUGGUUUUUAUGCGUAAGUUGGCAUUUCUACUUUCUUAAAAGCUUGCAAUUUUAUUAACCGGUACAGUUGGUUUGCUAGGUCUCUGGUUUUGAGGAAGUGUAGAAUGGCAAAUAGGAAUCCUUGGGCUAUGACCUGUUUUAGAUUUGAUUAUUUAGGGCGCAACUUUCCCUUAAAUUUCAAUCCUGUAUUGCGCUGCAUAAUUUUGUACACUUCUAAGCUGAAAUUAUAUCAUUUGAGUCAGAAAAUCCAAAUAUCAUUGAGCAAGUCAUUUACUUCGUAGUCUCCAUCAAAUGAACUAGAGCUUCUAAAAUGAGUUGGUAACCUAGGGCUUUGGAGUUGGCAGUUGCUUCAUUCUGUUUAUAUCUGCAAUAAAUUCUAUGUGCCAGAACAAACUAAUGUUGUUGUGACUCAAAAUGCCAAGUAAAAUAGCUAGACCUUAUGCCUCAAAUUUCUGAUGCCAAACAGUUUUGCAAUUUUUUCAGAUGCAGCUAGUAGCUUUAUGGGUGCAUCAUUGCCAAGGGAUUUUGCAAAGACGAAAAGAUUAGUCAAGAUAAGUGUAAAAGUGACUGCAGCUGCUACUGUUACAAAAAAUCCUAUGGAACAAAUUAAAGAGUAUGGACUUUAGUUUCCUUCUAUUUUUGCUGUUUCAUUAAGCUUAAAGUGUUCUGGCUUUGGAGUUUUCUUUGAAAAGAAUUGUUGAGUUGGGUUUUUGCAUUUUAAGGAAUAAUAUCUUCUUUGGGAGUGGAAAAUUGGAGGAAUUCACCCUCUACAUGUUUCUACGUGCAGCAUGCUGAAGUUAUAUGUAUCUCAAGUUCUAAACUGCAAUGUGGUGUUGUUUGAAAUUUUUUAAUCAUUCAAACAGAAUAAUCUGAAGAUUCCUGCCCAACAGGUAUGCACUCCCUUCGUGGGCUAUGUUCGAACUGGGGAGGGCUCCGGUAUAUUGGAAAACCAUGAAUGGUCUUCCUCCAACUUCUGUGAGUGCAGCAUUGCUGGUUUUAUUAUUAUUAUUUUUGCUUUAUGUUGCUUGAAAGCAAGGGCAGGCUGUUGGCUGUUGCAACUCUUUUCUAUAGAGAUUGUCUUUUUUGACAGGGAAAGAAGGUGAAGCUUUUCUACAAUCCAGCUGCAACUAAACUUGUUCCAAAUGAAGAAUAUGGCAUUGCUUUCAAUGGUAAUUUGUGCUCAUGCACUCUUAGCUUUAAUAAUAUAAUUAACCAAAUUGGUUUCUGUAGAUUUCAAUAUAUAAAAGUCUGUACAAAUAAGAAGUACUACCUGUGAAAGGACUCUAGUUAUAUUAUAGACUGUAACACUAUGGCUUCUGUUAUGUCCUAAAAGUAUAAAACAAAUUUAUUCAUAAAAUGAAGUAUUUAAUAGGCUUGUUGUUACCAGUAUUACCAAGGUUAUUUAAUAAAUUAAGCAGUUUUUCUUCAUUUGGUUCUAUAGCAACACUCAGAAAUUUGGUUCUUGACAUUAUUACAGAAAAUAGGAACAUUUUGAUUUUCUUCUGCAUUAUCAGGAGAUUGCCAUCAAAAACGGCAAAAAGAAAAGAAAAUGAAAGUAGGGGGGAUAGAAUAACUUGUAAUCAUUUCAAAUACCUCACAGUUGAAUGACCUUGGUUCAUGGCAUGACUCAAAUGGAUCUUUGAUAAUUUCCACAAUUUGUUUUCCAUAGCUCAGCUACCAUUGGUUAAGUGAGUGGUGCCUGUAGUUCUUUCUUCAGUGGUUUAUCUAGGGGUUCUAGUAUUUGAUUCAUUGUUGGGUCGACUAUAGGUUUUGUAUGCAAGUAGAUAAUUGAAGUCCUUGGCUAACAACUUACUCAACUGUAACUCUGCAGGAGGUUUCAAUCAGCCUAUCAUGUGUGGUGGUGAACCGAGAGCAAUGCUGAGGAAAUCUCGAGGCAAGGCUGAUAGUCCAAUAUACACCAUCCAGAUAUGCGUUCCUAAGCAUGGUUUGUAACAUUCACAAAUUUUUUUCUCUUGGACAGUUCAACUCUCUCCUCAACUCCUAAAAUCUACUUUUACUUUGGCAGCUGUGAACUUGAUCUUCUCAUUCACAAAUGGAGCCAAUUGGGAUGGUCCUUACAGACUACAGUUUCAAGUUCCGAAGUCUUGGCAAAACAGAGCAAUUGAAUUCUUUAACCAGGUAAAUUUAUGCAUACUUGGGCUCUAUGAUUCUUCUGCCUCUAGGUUGAAGAUAAUUGUCCUGUGCUAUGAACACAUAUUACAUUUCGCAUUCGUGAUUGUCAUACCUGUAACUAUUUGGAAGUGAAGCAAAAUUUGGCAAGCCAUGCAUUACGAAAAAAAUGUUUCUUCUAUGUUGCUGGCAGGGGGUAGGGAAGGUGGAUCUGGAAAGUAAAUUUGAAGAAUUCAUUUUUUAUUUUGACCUAAACUAGAGAACUCAUUGCCAAACCAUGCAAUAUUGUGAAUUUCUCUGUUUCAUUUUACACUUGAGUUAAUUUCUAUUUGGAAUGAUUGAAUUGGUUCAGACUAGACAAGUGAGAGAAUAAUGUAACCUGAGACAUGUGAAAUCUUGUAUCACUGUGGCAGGGGCUGGCAGAGGAGUUGAGUCAAGAAGGUGCAUGUGACAGGGCAAUCUUUCCAGACACAAAUAUUGUUGUUGAUAGAUGUGUUAUGAUCGGGAACUUAUCCAAAGAAGGAGUAAAUAAACUUCUUAUCUGUGUUCUUCUUUAUUCUACAUCUUCAUUUCGUUAUUCUGCAUCUAAUUGCUAGCAUCAACUUUAUGUAUGAACUCUACAAUGGAACACUCUUGCAGGGUGAUCGUUGCAGCCUUGAUCUAGUUCCUGGAUGCAUGGAUCCUAACUCCUACUUAUACAACCCUCUCGCUAAUGUAGAUGACGGGUCAUGCCUAAUUGACUCUGAUUCUGAGGACUAGUGUCAGCCAGCCGCAUCUCAUUCACUCAUCUCAUAUCAUUUAAUACAAUCAUUUGGCGGAGGUCUAGAGUUACCAUGGCAGACUAUUUGCCGAAUGACUCCCUGCUCUUAACCGCUAGUCCUAUAGGGCAUUUGCCCUGCCUGUGACUUCUCAAGAAAUUCGAAUAUAAAGCUGCAAAUAUUCAUAUGAAUGAGGUACAGGAUAAUUAUAUUACAAAUUGGCUAUCAUCUCCACCCUGACAUUAGUUGCAGUAUAUCGUAACAGUUGUGACGAUUGAAAUGAGACAAUUCUUGUAUAGAAUGUAGCAUAAGGCAUAUAUCCUUAAAAUAAGUUCACCGCAUGAUUCCACUGAGUUUGACUUGCUUGGUGGCAAGGAUCUUUAGAGCUUUCUUUUUUAUGCUUAAGUAGGGUUUGGAGUUGGGAUUACAAUUAGAUAACAAUAUUUUAUUGACAGUUUGAUAAUAUCAGAAUGUAGAUUAGAAACCCUGCAGAAUCUUACUAAAAUUUGCUUGACAAUAAACCCUUACUAAAACGGCAGCAUCCAUACCCUUUGCCUUAACAUGAAGGCAAGGCCUCAUUUGACUAGUUGCAUAAUUCUUGCCAUCCAGAGAAAUUUAUGCUAACAGAUUGGCAUCCAGGAUAAUUGUAAAAAAAUUAAGUUUGGUCAAUGGUAAUUAUCUCUCCAACUGAAAAUAUCAUAUCUCUGUCAAGUCUACCUAAUGAAAAAGGACAGACAGAGGAAUAGGAUAUCCAUGACAAUGAUUAAAGAUGGAAAGCAAUGUUAAAUGUGCUGAAAGCUCAUCAGCUUGGUUUUAAUUAGGACCAUCAAACGCCCCUGUUCAGCAGCUAGAGGACAUAGAUAAUAAAUCUUUCUGGCAACGCAUAAUGAAAAAGAUGUACAACUAAACUAUUAGCUAUGCAUCAAUAUCAAACUGGUCCAGUUCUACCCAGGUUUCUGGGUCAAGGCCCUGCCAAACUUCAAAGACAAGUGAAAGCGCAAAGGCUUUGCAUGCCAUGAAAACUGGUCCUGUGAUUCUUGUAAUAUGACACGAUUUGACCUGUCAAAAAACCAUUGACAGAAUGGUCGUAGGACGAAAGUUCUUUUAUGAAUUCAACUUCUAGAACAGGACAAAGAAAGUAGUACAAAACACAUCCUAGGCUCUAACUUUAACAUGCUUAUCCUAUGCCAAAAAGAAUAUUGACAAAUGUGAAAUGACUGCAAGCAAGCAAUGUAAGCACCCCAAGAAAACAGAGGCCACAUCGAAAAAAAAAACACAAGGAUUAGAACAUUGACACCCCAUUUUAACUUGUUUUCUAAACUACCAUUCCCCUUUUGCUUUUUCCCCUUUGAGCAGCAAUUUACAUUGUCUUCUUCAAAUUUGACGUUGCCAUUUGAGCAAUUCUUCUUAUCUUAACAAGCCCUCUUUCAUGGUACCAGAAACAAGUGGACAUUUUCUCUUGCUGUCUUCGUACUUGCCAGCAAGGGAAUCGAAUAGGAUUCCAGCACCAACACCAACAGCCAAAUCAAUGGUGUGACAACCCCUGGUACCUAGCAACCUCACAGCUUGAAGCACAUUCAAUGUAUCAAAUAACCAUGCCAAUUCCCAUCUACGCAUUCGCCUCAUUUCGAACGACGCAAUCACAGAUCCAGCAACAUGGCCCGAGAAGAAUAGGAAGAACGAUACAUUCCCUACUGGAAAAUCCACUCCUGAACCUACAAAUUCCUGUCAUUCCAUGAUUGAAUCAGCUGAUCAAACCCAAUAACCAACCAGAGUUAAGAAAAAGGGAUUACGACUACCCUGUUCCUGACAACUAUAGACAAAGACAAAGAUACCAUUGACAGUGUUGUUCAUUAUCUUCAGAAAUCAAUCAAACAUGAUCAUACCAAUUUUAUGGAAAUGAAAUCAAACAAUUCAAAUCAGGGAAGGAUAAGUUUUCAAAUGUUAAGAACCUGGGGUAAUGGGAGCUGCGUGGAGUAACCAAGAAUCCCACGACAAGUAAACAUGAACAAAGCAGAUAUUGUAGCCCUUGGCCGACACUCGAUUAGCCAUGUCCAUAGUAUAUAAACUGUCUGCACCCCUACAAACACCUCACCCCAAAACAUAUGUAUCCAAAGAUCAGAUCAUGCUUUUUGCUGUAAUCAAACUUUCUUAGAGAAAAGUUAGAAACCAUUCAAAGUUAUAUUAUAUAUUGACAUGUUAAAAAAGCUCUUAUGACACUUUUCAAUUUUUACCUAUACCUUAUGUCAAUGCCACACGAAAUAUAAAAUAUAAAUAAUAAUUUAAUUAAUAAUAAUUAAUAAAUUGGUAGUAAUAACAAAUUAUUUAAUUUAAAAUAAAAAUAUAAAAAUUUAACUAAUUGUAAUAAAAAAAUGACUUAUUUAAAUUUUUAAAAUAAUUUAAAGAUUUUUUUAAAUAUUAUAUUUCAAUAUAAUAAUUCUUAAUCUGAUACAUUUUUAAUUAAUUGCAUUUGAAGAAUGCAUAAGGGACUCAUAAAGGUAGAUCUAUAAGAUCUCCAUGUGUGGAAUCAAUUUUUUUUGCCUCUUUGUUUUUACUAAUAAAUACAUUGUGAUGAAAAAAAAAGCAAAAAGAAAUCAAUGAAAAUAUACUUGAAAAAGUUCAUGCAAUUUAUUCUUGAGGAAACAAUACUCAUGUUCUAAGAGCUCCAAAGCUCUCAGGCACCUUCAUUUGACAUGCUAAAACAUCUCUUUAGCCAUAUCUUAAAGUGGGUAAUGAGGUUGUUUCUGAUUAAAAAUAAAAUAGUGAAAGGAAACGGUAAACUUGGAAGUUGGAAAUGGAGUAGUAUAAAUGUUUUGACAUUAAAAAAAGGGGAUUUUUUUUUAUCUUUUAAAAAUAACGUGCUUUUGUAAAUAACCCUCAUGAUAAUUUUAACUGUUUUUAGCAAAAAGAAUAGAUUUUGGGACAAAAAUGCUCUUAAUGAGCCAUCUUCGUUAGCGUGCAUUAUCAAAUAGGUGGAAAAUAGGAAAAAAAAUAAAUUUGCAAAGAUUGGUUGUGCAAAAUACCUUUUUUUUUUUGCGAAGGUUGUGCAAAACAAAAUAAUGUUGCAUGAGAUGGGUUUUCAGAUAUUUGGGACAUGACAUUCAGAUAAUAGAAGAAGAGAGAUAUUAAAUCGAACGAGGAACCAGUCGUCAUGAAUGGAAAGCUUAGCUAAUGAUGUGAAACCAGAAAUCCUUGAUACGGUAGUGAAUUGAAAGGAGAAAGAUGUGAAUCCAAAGCAGGAAAUGGUCUUGCUAUAGCAAGCCAUAUGUGAGACAGUUGUCGCAGGGCAGGGUUUAGAGUUUGUGAAACGUCAUGUUGGGAAUGUGUGACACGGCACCGCUCAGAGUUGGUGAGACGCCAGAGUUAAGAGUUGGUGACACGUCAUGGUGAGAAUCUGUGACACGCCAACGUUCAGAGUUGGUGAGACGCCAUGGAGGGAAUCUGUGACACGCCAGAGUUAAGAGUUGGUGACACGACAUAGAGGGAAUCUGUGACACGCCAACGUUUAGAGUUUGUGAGACGCUAUGGAGGGAAUCUGUGACACGUCAAAGUUAAGAGUUGGUGACACGCUAUGGAGGGAAUCUGUGACAUGCCGGCAUUCAGAGUUCGUGAGAGGCCAUGGAGGGAAUCUGUGACAUGCCAGAGUUUAGAGUUGGUGACACGCCAUGGAGGGAAGCUGUGAUACUCUAGAGUUAAGAGUUGGUGACACACCAUGGUCAUGGUUUAAAGUGUGUGACACGGCAUUGCUUGAAAAGUUGACACGCCAUGGUCAUGGUUUAGAGUGUGUGACACGAUAGUGCUUGAGCAGCUGACACAUCAUGGUUUGAAAUAGAGAGAGGAAAAAAAAGAGGGCAGUUAACGUGGUAAUCGUUUAGACUUUCACUGAAUUAAUUCCCUUUUUUCAGAAUCAAUAAGAAUAUUAAAAGGCCAUUUUUCAUUUUAAACAAUUAUUAUUCAGAAUUCAUAACGUCUAUGUGAUUCAUUUCUCAUUCCAGCCGGUACCAGAGUGUUCGAAAAGGCUAUUUGAAAGCGUAAUGACACCACAGCACCAGCAACAAUGUCAACCAUGAAUGAAGAGGUCAAUGAGUCUCAAAUUAAAACAUUCUUGUGUUCGUUAAUUUUUUGGUUUUUCCUAGGUUUGUUUGAUAUGUUCGGGUUUUUUGUUUUGUUUUGCAAAUGUUUAGACUGUAUUUUCUUACUGGUUUGAUGGUUGUUGGGGUUAAGUCGUAGUGAUUUUAGGGGUUUUGGGUGUUUACCGUGUGAUGCCAUUGUUAUUAUAGUUAGUUAUUGACGCGUCAGCUUUAUAUGAUUUGAUUUGAUAUGCAUGGCAUGUGACAACAUUUUACUUGAUAUGCAUGGCGUGUCACAACAUUUUACUUGUUAUGCAUGGCGUGUGACAGCAUUUUACUUUAUAUGCAUGGCGUGUAACAACAUUUUACUUGUUAUGCAUGGCGUGUGACAGCAUUUUAUUUUAUAUGCAUGGCGUGUGACAGUAUUUUACUUGUUAUGCAUGGCGUGUCACAACGUUUAACUUGUUAUGCAUGAUGUGUCACAACAUUUUACUUGUUAUUCAUGACGUGUCACAACAUUUUACUUGUUAUGCAUGGUGUGUCACAAUAUUUUGCUUGCUAUGCAUGGCGUGUCACAACUUUUAUUCCUUAUUGCACAUGACGGCUUAACUCAUUGAUGCAUGUGUGCCAUGUUUUGUAGAUCCAGCGUAGAUAGUAUGAGGAUCUUGACAGUUUGCUAAUUGUGCCAAGGGAGAAGUGGGCGUUCAACGUUGCAAUUAACACCCACUGUAAGUGGUCGCAACUGCAUUACAUCACAAAGACUCUCCAACAGAAGGAGGAGUACGAUGCAGUUAAGCGUACCUGCUUCGAAAUGCUCCUAGACGUCUAUCCACAUGGGUACUUUUGUGCCGGUCUCCUGCACAGCAUCAUGAUUCAUCGGAUCAGUGAGAGCCAGUCAAUGGACCACGAGCUAUGGUUUGCCAUUGGCAAGAGCAAGGCGCGGCUAUCAAAGCAGGAGUUUUGCCUCAUCACCGGGGUUGAAGUUUGGUCCAAUGCCUGAUGUGUUCAAACGACCGUACGAGGUUGCUGUGGCAAGAAUUCAUGAUAGAUACUGGAACGGGCAGGAAAACAUUAAGCUGCAGGCUUUGCUUGAUACUUUCCGUGGGGGCAACUUCCAACGACCAAGAGACGCGACCAAGAUGGCACUCGUCUUGAUCGCGAAUAACAUUUUAUUUGGUCAAGACUACCGUAGACGGGUAGCACCUUGGUUGCUAUCAUUGGUGGAGGACAUCGACGAUUGGAAUGUCUUCCUAUGGGGGCACUAUUGUUGGAAGCUGACCUUGGACUACCUUUUGAAAGGGUUCGAAGUACCUGACUCAAGUGUGACAAAGGAAACUCGGUUACGCUACAACAUUUACGGAUUCGCAUGGGUGAUACAGGUACUAUCACUUAACAUUUUUCAGUUUCCUUUUGAAAAAAAAAUUUAUGGGUGCACUCGUUUAUGAUUUACGGUCUAAUAAUGAUUACAUUUGACAUGCAGUUUUGGGUAAUGGAGGUAAUUUCGGUCCUCCUAAAAAUAGUUGCCCCCUCUGGUCCAAAGAAAAACGUCUACCCAUGAAUGUGAAGAUGAGAUUGCAAUCAGAAGUCAAAAGACUUCUACAAUGCAAUUCAGAAGUUAGAGUCAUCUGACCAUAUGAGUGAACAGCUGCUAAUUUUUACGUUAUAUUUGUAUAAUAAUUUUCUCUAUUCAAUAAUGAUUUUAUUUGUUUAUUUGCAGUUGUGGGCAUUGGAGACGUUGUAACCCACCGCGGAUGAGGCCUUCCGGGAGUAUUUUGUGGACCUUGAUGUCUCGUUAUCGGAGGGCCACGAGUACGUGCUAAUAGGGCACAUGGAGGAUCGGUCGAAUUUAGGCUUAGGUGCGAGGCAGAAAAGGAGAAGCUUGAAGGAGAAAAGAGCUUCUAGUGGCACGAAGCGGAUGCACACCGCCGCUGCUUUAAUUGAUGAGCUGUCGGGCCCUGAGUUGAUGGACGAAGGGGACGACCAUGGUCAAGGCAGUGAACAGCCGAUAAGGACAAUUGUAAUGAUUUUGUGUUCUCCAAUUCCAUAUGUGAUUAUUGAAUAACAUUUCCGUGUUUGCAGUUGGACCAUGCACCGGCAGCUCCAGAACCACUCAUCGAUCCUCCUCAAACACAUAAAUGCCUCUAUGACAUCGUUUACCUUAGCUCAAACCACCUUUCAAAAUUCAAUUACUUCAGUUGUUUUCCACCAGCCUUCAAUAGUUUAUUUUUCAUAUUAAAAAUCACUUUCUAACAGUCCCCCAUGAUUUGAAAUCUGGUGCACUCCAAGAAGAGUUUUGAGCAUUUCAAAUCUCUCCCUGGAUAAACCUUUGGUUAAUAUAUCAGCUACUGAACCUCUGUAGUGCAAUGCUUGAGUUCAACCUCUUUUUCAUUCACUGCCUCUCCAAGAGCAUGAUAUUUUACCUUGAUAUGCUUGGUUCUCCCAUGAUGAAUUAGAUUUUUGGCUAUUGCAAUGGCAGAAAGAUUAUCAACAAAAAUCAUGGUGCUCUUAUCUUGUUUGAAACCAAGAUCAUUAAGAAUUUUCCUCAACCACUUCAACUAAUUUACAGCUGCUGUAGUUGCUAUGUACUCAGCUUUUGCAGUACACUGUGCAACAAUACUUUGCUUCGUUGAAUUCUAUGAGAAAAUUGCACUAUUGAAAGAAAAACAGAACCCAGUUGUGCUCUUAGAAUCAUCAAGUGACCCUGCCCAGUCACUAUCACUAUAUCCAACUAAAUCCCCACUCUCUUGUUUCAUAAACCUCAGGCCAAAAUCAGCAGUUAUUUUAAUAUACUUGAGGAUUUUUUUGGCAGCUUUAAAAUGUAACUGUGUAGGAGCUUACAUGAAUCUGGACAAUAAACAUGUAGCACACAUCAAAUCUAGCCUAGUUACUGCCAAAUACAACAAUGAACCUAUUAGACUUCUGUAAAUUGAAUCAUCAAUAGCUGCAGAACCAUCUUCUUUACAAAACUUAUUUCCAAAAGCUAGAAGAGUUGCUACAACCUUACAAGCAGACAUGUUGAAUUUCUUUAACAGAUCCUUGGCAUACUUAGUCUGAUGUAACCACACUUCUUCACCAGUUUGUAGAAUCUCCAUGCCUAAGAAAUAAGUCAUUAACCCUAGGUCUAUCAUUACAAACUCUUACAUCAUCUGGCUUUUAAACUCAAUCAAUGAAUCACCAUCAGGUCCAAUGAUUAGUAAGUCAUCCACAUAUACUGCAACAAUUAACAUUGCAGUAUUUUCAAGUAUCUUCACAUACAAAGUCGACUCAUUUGUGCUUUUUAGUAGACCUUGACUGGAAAAAUAAGCAUCUUCCUUGUCAUACUAGGCCCUGAGUACCUGUUUUAAGCCAUACGAUGCCUUAACCAGUUUACAAACCUUGUCCUCUGCCCCUGGUUCAACAUACCCUUCAAGGUGCUCCACAAAGACAUCUUCAGACAGAUUACCAUUUAGAAAAGCAGCAUUUACAUCCAAAUGGUAUAUCUUCCACCUUUCUUUAGUAGCUAAUGCAGCAAGCAUCCUAAUUGUGUCAUAUCUGGCAACCGGUGCAAAAGUUUCCAAAUAAUCAACUCCAUAAGUCUAAGCAUAACCAUUGACCACCAAUUUGGCUUUUAUAUUUGUUUAUUGAGCCAUCAGAAUUUAGCUUAGUUCUAAAUAUCCAUUUGACUCCUAUUAUCUUGUGAUAUGUAGGUCUGUCUACAAGUAACCAGGUAUUAUUUUUCUUUAUCAUGGAGAUCUCAGCAUCCAUAGCCUUUCUCCAGUUUUCAUCCACAACUGCUUCAGAAUAAGUGACAGGAUCAACAGUAGCAAGAUUACAUUUGCUGUAUAUAUCUUCCAAUGUCUUUGACCCUCUUACAGCUUUACUUUCAUCUUCAAUAUCAGAAUCAUCACUUUCCAACAUAAGUUGAUGAUUAUCCAAAUCUUGACUACCAGGAACAGGUUCUACAAUCUUUUUUUUCCAGUUCCAGAAAUGACUUUUAUUAAAGACCACAUCCCUACUUAUAACCACUUUGUUUGCAUCUAAAUCAUAUAGUCUAUAUCCUUUGGAUUUGUCACUAUAGCCAAUAUGCACAGCAAUAAAAGCUUUAACAUCAAAUUUUGAUCUCUUCACAUAAGGAAUUCAAGCAUAGCACAUACAGCUAAAGACUUUAAAAUGAAAGACAGAGGGUUUUUGUUCAUACUGGAUCUCAAAAGGAGUUUUGAACACCAAUUCUUUAAUGAUGUUUCUAUUUUGAAUGUAGUUGGUAGUGUUAACUGCCUCAACCCAAAAUUUCAUAGGGAGAUUACACUGUAAUAAUAAACACCUUGCCAUUUCAGCAACUGUUCUGUUUUUCUUUUCAGCCUUACCAUUCUGCUGUGGACUAUAAGCAACUGUUAAUUGAUGGUGAAUCCCAGCAGUUGACAAAAGCUUCUCAAAUUCAUUUGAAGUGUAUUCAGCUCCAUUAUCGGUCCUUAACACCUUGAUGCUUAGGCUAGCAAAGUUCUCAACUUGUGCUUUGAACUCAGAAAAACUCCUUAUAGCUUCUGAUUUAUUCUUCAAGAAGUAAAUCCAACAGUAAUUAGAGAAAUCAUCAAUAAACAGGAUAUAAUUCCUGCUUCCACUCAGUGAGGGAUUCUUCAUAAGACCACUCAAGUCAGUAUGAACUAGCUCCAACUUCUUUGUAACUCUCCAACUACUUUCCUUAGGAAAAGGUUUCCUGGUCUGCUUCCCAAGCUAAUAGACAUCACACAACUUCUCUGGUUUAACAAUGUUAGGUAGACCUAUUACAAGGUCUUUUGAAGUCAUUGUUGUCAGUGAAUUAUAAUUCACAUGACCAACUUGUUUAUGCCACAAUUCAGAUAAAUCUUUCUCAGCAUAGAGAGCUAGUUGUUUACUUUCAGACAAUUUCAUAGGAUAACAUUUAUUCUUCAUGCUCACAGUUAAUAAUUCAACACCAGCAGGAUCGAAUAUUGUGCAUUGCCUAUCUUUAAACAAUAAGGCAUAACCAUUAUCAUCUAAUUGACCUACACUAAGUAGAUUCUGAUCAGCUUCAGGCACAUAAUGCACAUCAUGAACAAACCUCAUACCAGAUGCAGUUUUUACUCCUAUGGUGCCUACUCCAAGUAUCUUCAUGUAUAGACCAUUACCUAUUUUCACACAAGCCCUAUAACUUUUAUCAAGCUCAGUGAAAAGAUUAACAUUACUUGUCAAGUGGUUUGAGCAGCCACUGUCAAUCAACCGGGUGCUCUUCUCAUCAAUCUCAUCAUUUGCCUUAGCCAUAAACAAUACCUCCUCAAAUUCAUCUUUUUCUUCAACCACUGCAGCCUUGCCUUCAACUUCUUGUUUCUUCGCUUUACACACUUUCUCCACAUGUCCAAGUUGCUGGCAAGAUCGACACCUCACAUGAGGUCUAUACCAACAGUACUUUGGAGUAUGAUUAGUCUUUUUACAGUGAGUACAGGGAGGAAAUUUAUCAUGACUCUUCCCUUGUUUUGCAGAUCCAGACUUAGUGCCUUUAGCACUAUUCUUCUUAGAACUUUCAGAUUUAGCUUUCAAACCCUUAGUUUUAGCUACUAAGGCAUUCUCAACAGAGUCUUCAUCCUUGAGGGCUUUUCUCUACUCAAAAGCCAAUAUAGUAGAGAUCAAUUCCUUUGAAUCCUCAAGUGAUGUCACUUUUGAUUCAAACUUGUCUGACAUACUCACCAAAAUUUUGUUGACCAUCCUUUGAUCAGUGACUUCUUGUCCCAACAUUCUGAGCUGAUUCACCAGCUUCAACAUCUUAUCCAUAUACUCUUGAAUACCCUCAUUUUCCUUCAUCUUCAUCACCUCAAACUGUUUCAAUAAAUUCAUAAUCUGUAUCACCCUUGUUUUGUCAUUGCCUUAAUAUUCUUCUCUGAUGUUAUCUCAUACUUGCUUAGGAUCCUCCAAAUGCAUAAUCUUGACAAAGAUUGACUCUGACACAGUUGACUGCAGGCUAAUCAAAGCCUUGUAUCUCUUUGCAACUUCCCCCGAGUGUUGCUUAAUCUGAGCUAAAGUCGGAUUAGCAUGCCUUUGAAUAGGCAUCUCACUAGACUCCACCACAUCCCAUGGGUCGAAUGCCUUAAGAUAUGAUCUCAUCUUCACUGCCCAGAAAGGAUAAUUAACACCAAUGAAUACAAGAGGUGCAGUUGCACUAAUUCCAACUAUUGCCAUAUAGAAAUUGAAGAUGAUACGAUCAAAAGCAAAAUGUUACAGGUCCCUUGAGAAAAAACACUCUGAUACCAUGUAAAAGAACUCGAUUUUCACUGACAGAGGCUAAAUAAGAAAAUGAAAAAGAAAGAGAAGAAUAGAGUAUCAGCUUAGAAGUAAAAUGAGAAUUUCAUUGAUCAAGAAGAUAUAUAAAAAACAACGGCUACAAGCAAAUAUAUUCACUACUAAGAGCUGUUCCUUAGAUGUAGCCUUGAAAAACCUAACAAAAUCGGAUCGAAGCACAGAAAACGGAAGGAGAGCUUUCUAUUGCUCUAACAGUCAAAAAACAAAGAACAAAGAAAAUAACAACCAAAUGACCAUUCGACUAACAAAAACGACACUCAUGAAGAACGUUUUACAAGAAAAAUUAAAAGACUAGUGAAACGACACUAAUGGUCAUCGUUUCACAAACUUAAAACACUUAAAUGCCUUUACGACAUUGUUUUACGUAGCUCAAACCACCUUUCAAAAUUCAUUUACUUCAGGUGCUUUCCAUAAGCUUUCAGUAGUUGAUUUUUUAGAUUAAAGAUCACUUUCCAACAAAUUCUUCUUUGUUUCCUUUUUGUUGGGUUUCACUCUUUCCAGGGUUUAAGGUUUUGAGUUCUUUUGCUUUCUAGUGGGAAGCUCACACGCCUCACGGUUCACAACUAUUUAAAGCGUGAGAGUUUAGCUUGGGCCCUAAACUCAUACAAUACAACGGUAAAUAUUAAAAAAAAACACUAGCCAAUACGUUCAAAUAUUUUAAACAGCUAAAAUAUUCUACUCCUAAACAUAGAGCGUGGACUUACCCACAACCCUAUUUGGUGGAGCUAAGGUAUAAAAAUAAUUCACAAGUACUUAUAGGCAAAGGAUAAAGUUGUUAGAAUACAGAAAAUAUUAGGAAAUGGUUUGAAGGGGUGUAUUUAUCUCAUUUUCUUAAAAUUUUUAUUCGGAUUCAUUAUUGGUGUGCAAAAGAGUUUUUUAGGAUAAACUUUAAAUACACAAUAAGUUCAGUCAUUGACUACAUUUUGUAUGGACAAAAUUAAUUCGCUGAACAUUUAUUAAUAUAUGACAAGAUUAUUAAAUUUUUUAUAGAAUUUUUCUAUAGCAAAACAAUAUAGAAGCAAUUCAAAAGAAUUUGAAGGAGAAAGUGAUUGUAAGUUGUUUCUUUGUUGAUAUAAUUUCAUAAAAACCAACAAAUUUUAUUUAUAAACAAAUUUAUGUCUCUUUGUUCAAAGUUAAUCAACCCUUUGAACAAAUAUAGUUGUUUGAGCAAAUACAACUAUUCAACCAAAUCAGGGAGACUGCAUUAAUUAUGUCAUUUUUCUAUAAAUGUUACGUUAACUUAUAUUAAUCUAGGGUGAGCAACAUUGUAAGGUUAUCAUGGAUCGUGGUGGACCAAUGGGUUUGGAUCGAUUUUAAGGUGAUCUUGUGACUUAACGAGUGAUCCAUGAUUCAAAUUUUGUAUGGCCGACACUUUUAAGGUGGUCCAUUGUCCUAGACAUUUUAUCUAUUUACCCAAGAUUAAAAGACUAGACUUGUUCCUACGGUUUAGUCCUUCUGAAAUUGAGUCUUGAAUCAAUUCUAAACUAACAAUCAUUUAAAAAAUUAUAUAAAAAAUUAUAUAAAAAAUAAGAUAAAUAUUUAGAAAUUAUAAGACUUGAACUCAUAAUAAGAAAGAUGCUGUUUUAAAAGAUCUUAACCAUAUUAAGUUAAAGAGUUACAUAAUAUUAAAACAUUUAUAUCCAAUACAAACAAUAAAUGAAUAAAUAAAAAAUCUACCAACAGCACCAAACAAAAUGUAAGACUUUUAAAGUAUUGUAACUUAAAAAUAAAUGUGACCUAUAGCGCGGAUAUGUAUGAAUUUUUCUUAUAGUAUUUAUGAAUUUGAUAUACUAUUUGAGUGUAAUAUUAUUAUUUUUUAAAUAAUUAUAAGAAUUCUUAAUCGUAUCAAAUCAUAAGCUUAAUCAUAGAGUUAACCUUACAAAAAUAUGACCUAAUCCACGAUUAAAAUUUUUUAAAACUGAUCUUAUACAAGUGAUGUAUAAUCAUGACUUUAAAAAAAUCCACCUAAACCAUGCAGUAGCGAAGGGAAUGGGCCGUUAGUAGGGUUCCCGUCUCACAAAAGUUUUAAAAUUUCAUAAUUUACCUUUUGAUUUUUUUAGAAUUUUAUCCUUACAAUAAUUUUUUUGUUUAGUGAAAUGCUUUAUAGUAAUUAGUCAACAAUUAAUUUUAAUAGACUUAAAGAUUAAAUAAAAUCUAUUGUAGAAGAAUUAUUCCCUAAGCCACAUUGUUCUAAGAACUUAGGAUCAACUUAGCUCUUGUCUGUCCCUUCAAACACGAAAUUCUUGCUCCGUCACUAAAAAAUGCUCACCUCUAAAUUAUUAGAAGACAAAGACAACCAUUUUCCUAAUUUCAAUAAUAAUGAGUGAAAUGAAAUUGCAACUAGACAUGUAGUGGUACCUUGGGUAUGGGGUGUGAGGUCUACAUGGAGUAAGAGAGAGUGAGUAAAGGCAUGGGGGUGAAAGAGAGGGUGUGCAAAGUGGGUCCAAAUCAAGGCAUGGAGGAAAUAGCCAGGAUUUGAGUCAAAUUAUCAAAGCACAAAAAUAUAGGUGUGAUUUUCUUCACUUUGCAUUAUUGGGCCAUCAAUAUGAGCUUGUUUCAUUAUGAUUUUUGUUGAUUCUCUCAUUUAGUAUCUACUCCUCCUCCUAAGUAAUGACAGGAGUCAAUACUGUAUAAUUAUCAUUUUGGAAGCAAAUUCUUCUGAUAUCAUGGAACUGUUUUAACUUUUAAAUCAAGCAACUUGAAUUGAAUGGCAUCACUUUUUAAGACAGCAGAUAACAUUCCCUUCCCUCCAGGCUCCAACAUUCAGACCAGUUAAUAGCUUAUAUAUAUAUAAUAUUAAUUUGAUGUAGUUGCCAACGUUGACAUAUCUAUAUAUUGAAAUCAAUAUUGUAAAUUAUAAUAUCCUUAACACUGAUGGAGUAAUUAUGCCAACUAUGGAAUUCUUAAAUUCUACUCCAGAAAGUGGCAGGGGGCCUGCAACAAAAUACUCAGGUAGAUGAUGAGGUUUACAAUUAUUUUACAUAUUCUCCAUUGGAGAACGAAGCAUGUCAAUUUGUUUACAGGAACCACGACAUUCUCACUUGGAAAAGCAUGAUUUCUAUUGACGUAAGCAAAACCUUCAUCUCUUUCUUAUGAUGCUUCUGUUUUAUCAGAUUAAUUAUUACUAUAUAUCAGAUGCAUUUGUUUUUUCUUCUCUAUCAGCCUUUCAAACAAAAGAAACCGAUCUUUCAAAAAACCAGAUUCAAACAACCAAAAACCAAGCCACAAUUUUCUAUCAAAAAAAUCAAAGAAAACACCCUAAUCUAGCAACCACAAUUACAAUCCACAAUAAAAGAAAACCAAAAUAAAAUAUAUAUAAAAAAAUACACAUGGAGAAAGGAGAGAAACAGAGUGAGUUUGGGGGAUUUUUUGGUUUGGGUUUCUAGGAAUAGAUUUUUAUUUUUAUUUUUUGGUUUAUUGGUUGAAGCUUAAAGGAAGGAAGAGUUUAAGGAGCUAUUACCGCCGGUUUAGGAGAGAAAGAGAGGCUUGAAACGGCGUCGGAUAGGGAAAGUUAUUGGGCUUGGGUGCGUUGCCAGUAGGAAAGGAAAAAGAGGGUUACCGUCGGUCGGUUACAAAGGCAAAGGAGGGAGGCUUUGAGUGAGGAAAGAGAGCUGGUGAAAGAGCAGAGAAAAAGCGUUCAGAGAGAAAAAGGUAACUGGUAGAAGAGAAAGAGGAAGAAGAAAAAAAAUAAUAAGAAGUCAGCUUGGGAGGGCCUCUAAACGACGCUGUUCUUGAGUACCUGGGAGAGGCUGCUACCAGAGCUCCAGAUUGGAGUGUUUUGGGAAGCACGGUGGGCUAAGGACACGGGCUUGGGUGCUUACAAACAAAUCAAUUAUUUUGGGUUACUGUCUAAGCCCAAACAAGGUAAAAUCCUUUCCUUUAUUAUUUACAUGGAUAUAUUGCCUAGCCCAAUAUUGAGUUGAGGAAUAUUAAAAGUUAAAAAUAAUUAUAAAUAGNNNNNNNNNNNNNNNNNNNNNNNNNNNNNNNNNNNNNNNNNNNNNNNNNNNNNNNNNNNNNNNNNNNNNNNNNNNNNNNNNNNNNNNNNNNNNNNNNNNNNNNNNNNNNNNNNNNNNNNNNNNNNNNNNNNNNNNNNNNNNNNNNNNNNNNNNNNNNNNNNNNNNNNNNNNNNNNNNNNNNNNNNNNNNNNNNNNNNNNNNNNNNNNNNNNNNNNNNNNNNNNNNNNNNNNNNNNNNNNNNNNNNNNNNNNNNNNNNNNNNNNNNNNNNNNNNNNNNNNNNNNNNNNNNNNNNNNNNNNNNNNNNNNNNNNNNNNNNNNNNNNNNNNNNNNNNNNNNUAUAUAUAUAUAUAUAUAUAUAUAAACAACAUGAUACAAAUAUAAAAAUUAUGAAAAAAUGAAAUGACUAUUUGAGAGAUUUUACCUAAAAAGGGCAAAAAGUUGCUUCUUUCUGGUGGAUUUCUUAGGUACGGAGUUCGAGAUGAAUUUUCAUCGAAGUGUCAGGAUAAAUCCGAAUUCUAUACUCCGAUACCCAUUAGUCCGAACAAUUGUUAUUUAAAAUAAUAUACAUAAAAAAUAAUAUAAUAAAAAUAAAUAUAUAAAUAAGGCAAUAAAUCAUGUUAAAUUAUCAAACAUGUUAUUAUUACUAACUAACUAAUUAAUAAACGUGGUCAUGUAGAUAUUAUCAUUUUAUAUUGUCAUAGCAUGCCACGUGUAUUUUGUUAAUGGGACGAGAACUCCCAUGAUGGGAUUUCCUCGAAAGACUUUUAGAGACGAGUUUUUUUCGGGGGAUAUCCAUAGGUGAGGAAAACUUCGAGACUUCACCAAAACGUUAGGAUGGUCUACGAACGAUUUUUCAAUAAAAGACUAUUGCUCUCAUUAUUCAAAAUUGAAUAAAUCAUGACAUCGUUUUACAACUGCAUCAUGUGCAUCCGUGAAGCCGAAUAAAAGGCUCAAUCAGCUAAUGUAAUAAAAAAUUAAUUAAUAAGCAAGGAUUAAGGAAAUAUAUGAAUAAAAUCAAAAGUAGGCUACAAUAUGAUAACUUAAGAUUAAAUAGUACCAUUUGUGGAACGGACGUCACGAAUGUGCUAACCCUUCUCCGUGCGUAACCAUACUCCCUAACUCGUUUUUAAAAAUCGUAGACCAGUUCUCUUUUUUUUGAUGGAUUUAAAAUUAAUUUGGAAUUUAGUCGUUUAAAAUCGAGUUAAUAGGUGACCAAUCGUACCUUUAAAAACCGAUUGGUGACGACUCAUAAUUUGUUUUUUCACCAUGUCUAACAGUCAGAUUUUUGAACCCGCACGUUAUAACAAGCUCAACUUGGAUUAGAGGUUUAAUUUAAGUCAAUAAAGGGUACCAAGCAAGCAAGCCAAGCCAAACCCAGCCUGCUUAAUUUUCUACACAAUGGGCACCCAAAAGCAAACCAUUGCUGGGGCCUGGGCUUGCUGGGCUCAAGUUUUACCACAUGCUUCAACCCUAGCUCAACUUAAAUUGAAGUUGACAUGCCAUAGUGAAAUGUUGUAGUAUCAAAGCUUAAGAGCUGGGAAAAGAGGUAAAAAUAAUCUGUUGAUUAUAUGGACCUUUAGCUCAGGUCAAGACGAUUGAUUUCUGUAUAGAUUAUAUGUAAUUACAUCAGAAGUCGGGCCAUAUAACUAAAGAAAUGUAGUUCACAGCUAGAGUCCUGAUGGUGCGGCAGUACCAGAAGCAACAAAUGUAGUCCAUUCACCUAAAUAAGUAUCUCACCAUGGUUAAGCAAACACCUUUGAAGUCCUAAAGAUUAAAGACUAGUCUCCAAUGCGGACACCUCAGCUGCUGAAAGCCAUCCUUUUCUUCUGAACUUCAGUAGGUAGCUUAACCUCAGUUGCCAGUCCGAUAACUUGAAGAAAUUUGAUUACACACCAAGCCAUGUCCAGUUGCCACCAUUCCAGACCAUGUCUGGCUGAGUAUUUGAAAGCAUGGUGGUUAUUAUGCCAACCCUCUCCAAAUGAAAGCAAUGCCAUCCACCUGAAAAAGUUUGCAGAUAUUUUUAUCAGUAACUUCUUAAGAAAUAAACUUGACAAGAACUAGAUGUAUAUUAGUACAAGGGAAGUCAAUUGUACCAAUUGUUCCUGGACAAAUCACCAGAAUUCCAUGCUUGCUUCCCCCACACAUGGCAAGCUGAAUUUACCAGCCAAGUGAUGUGGUAAAGCCAUACAAUCCUCACACCCUGCAAUGCUCGCACGUUAAUGCCUAGGCCUCCUUAUGGUUAGUAUGCUUAUUUGUCUUCGCUAAGUAAAAGUUUCACUUUUGAAGAUUAAAAUUAUACAGAAACUACUCCAGUCCAAAGUUGUUUGAUCUUCAUUCUAGCAAAUCGAAUGUAACACAAAUGGGCUCCCCAAAAGCAAAAUUUAUCUACUUGAGGAAUCAGAAAUGAUAACCCCAGCCCCACGUUUGUUACAGGAUUAUCUUUUUCUAACAAAUUGUCCAAACUGUUAUCAUAUUAGCAUAGAUAAACAUGGCCCAGCUUAAAGAUUCAAUUAGAUAAGACUUCCAACUUGUGAUUUAGUCCCCAAGCUAGAAUCUAACAUGCUUUCUCAUUUUUCCCUUCACUUUGAGCUAGAGUACAACUUCCUAUAGCUAUGUUUUUUCCUGUCAACUUAAUGACAAAAAUAAUUUGAAAGUAGGGCCACUAGCUUGGUGGUAUGAAGUAAAUUGCAAGUGGAAGGCCCACCAAUCAAACAAAGGGUUUAUGACUCUUUAAGGAUUUUUUUCGUCCUUUUUUCUUUUUCUAGUAACGAAAAGGGAUGGCUGCAACUCAUGCAAGAGACUAUGUUGGCGGAGCUCCAUGAAAACUUUUAGCUUAAGAUAUCUCUAUGCUCUAAAAAGGAAUAUUCAAGGCAAAAUAGGCUAAUCCUCAAAACAUGGGAAAAUUGAAAAACUCGCUUACCAUUCCCCAAACAAGGAAGGGAAACCCUCCUAGAGUAUAUAGCAAAACUCCAAGUGCAAUUGGAUGAAGAAUGUAGGUACCCUCAAGAAACUUGUAGAAGGGUUGCUGCCGUAGAUCCCCAACAUUGGUUGGUUCUCCACACUGCAAAUGUUCCAUUGAUACAAAACAUUAAGAAUAUCAAUUCGUUCUGUGCAUAUGUGAGUGCUUGCAUGUUUGAGAAAGAGAGCGAUAGAGUUACCUUUUCAAUAACGGUGUUGGUAUCAAAGAGCCAGCUCAUGUGGCUGAACCAAAAUCCUUCAAUAGGGCUAUGGGGGUCUCUGUUAGAAUCACAAAAUUGGUGGUGGUACCUAUGUGUGCUUACCCAACUAAUUGGAUUCCCCUGCAAACACCAAAACCAACAAUCAUAUAACAAUCAAAUGAUACUGCCAUUUCCAUGAAAAUAUUCCUCAAAAAUUUUUAAAGCUACCAACCUGAAGUGCCUGAACUCCACAAUAAGCAAAGAAGUACUCAAGCCAUUUUGGAACCUUGAAGCUUCUAUGAGAAAGAUUCCUAUGAAAAGACAAUGUAAUCCCUAGAAGUCCUGUCACCACAUAGAGUCCCACAGCAAGCCAAAAGGCGGGCCAAUUGAAAUGAAAAGGUGCAAAAAGGCUUAGCAAAUGCAUGCUUACAAUAACACCAGCAAUGGCCAUAUCCGAAGUGUUCCAUUUUCUUCCCCAAAACGCCUUUUUCUUCCUUUGCACCACCACAUUAGAUAACAAAAUUCUACCCGAGAUUUUCCCUUCUGGGUCGGGCUCGUUUGCUUCAACUGACACCCCAUUAGCCAAUGCCAACACUUUCCUAUUGCUGUAACUCCUAUUCAAACGAGUGAUA
rnacentral:lncRNA from 1 species